rnacentral:rRNA from 1 species
UGUUGUUUUUCUGAAAAUCAAUUUAAGAACUGUUCAUUUUUAGUUGUUAAGACUUUAUCGGCUUACUGCUAUUUUUUGGGCUUUUCUUGAAUGCACUUUUCAGUUAACAAGUCAACAUCAAUUUCUUUUGUUGUAAAACGGUAAAAGGAAGGUGGCUUUAUCUUCGGAUGAAGUGUUUAUAGCCUUUUACUUCUGCAAUCGGAGAGAUUGAGGUCUGCAGCGUAGAUCCUUCGGGGUUAGAUACUUCUAUGCUAAGCUAUAGUCCUAUAUAGACAACUUGUUGACUAUGUUCGAUCCUGUAACUUACUCGUAGAUACUAUUUUACCUAC